AGGAAACACCGGGGAAGACGCGGUUAAGGUUCCUGGCGGACAGCAGCAACAGAGACUGCAGGGAGCCCCCUUCGUGUCAGCGAUCGUGGGCCACACUUUGUAUUUGCAAGCAGUCGAGUGCCAUACUGGUGUGACGUAUUUCUAGGAAUUGCCAACAGAGCUCAAGGCACUAUGGAAUUGGUAAACCGCAAAUUUUUUUUGGGGUUGUUGCACUCGUUAGAGGCGGGAGGACAAGCCUUAAAAUGCCUGCACACGGUUUUUAAUCAAUCUUGCUGA